UAGGGAAUCUUCGGCAAUGGGGGGAACCCUGACCGAGCAACGCCGCGUGAGUGAAGAAGGUUUUCGGAUCGUAAAGCUCUUUUGUUAAGGAAGAACGAGUGUGAGAAUGGAAAGUUCAUGCUGUGACGGUACUUAACCAGAAAGGGACGGCUAACUACGUGCCAGCAGCCGCGGUAAUACGUAGGUCCCGAGCGUUGUCCGGAUUUAUUGGGCGUAAAGCGAGCGCAGGCGGUUAGAAAAGUCUGAAGUGAAAGGCAGUGGCUCAACCAUUGUAGGCUUUGGAAACUGUUUAACUUGAGUGCAGAAGGGGAGAGUGGAAUUCCAUGUGUAGCGGUGAAAUGCGUAGAUAUAUGGAGGAACACCGGUGGCGAAAGCGGCUCUCUGGUCUGUAACUGACGCUGAGGAUCGAAAGCGUGGGGAGCAAACAGG
rnacentral:rRNA from 1 species